rnacentral:lncRNA from 13 species
CUGGCAAUGAAAGCGUAGAAGGGGAUUUUACUGCAGGGAGGUGUUGAAAAGAGACCCCAGGCCUAGAUCACAUCUUGAUUGAAGCCUUAUGGAAGCCCUUGAAGCAGAGAACACAGCUAUCUGAUUUUGCCAGCAGCACAUCCUGAAAAGACCAGCCAUCUCUGCAGUGUGGAAAGGAGUUGCUCCAGAGCUCAGCCCUGUGGACUCUACAGUGAGGCACCUCAACUGCUUUCCAAACAGUUUCUAUCUCUGGGCACAAGAACAAUCCCUGCUAGUGUUGUG